rfam:Camelus ferus unplaced genomic scaffold scaffold372, whole genome shotgun sequence.
GAGGGUGUAGCUCAGUGGUAGAGUGUGUGCUCAGCGUGCCCAAGGUCCUGGGUUCAAUCCCCAGCACCUCCA